rnacentral:rRNA from 1 species
UACAGAGGUCUCAAGCGUUGUUCGGAUUCAUUGGGCGUAAAGGGUGCGUAGGUGGCGCUGUAAGUCGGGUGUGAAAUUUCGGAGCUUAACUCCGAAACUGCAUUCGAUACUGCGGUGCUUGAGGACUGGAGAGGAGACUGGAAUUCAUGGUGUAGCAGUGAAAUGCGUAGAUAUUGGGAGGAACACCAGUGGCGAAGGCGGCUCACUGGACCGGAACUGACGCUGAGGCGCGAAAGCGUGGGGAGCAAACGGG